UCCGAGUUGACCCCGGCAGUCUCCUACGAGUCCCCGACACUACUCGCUGGCAACUAGUCCCAAGGGUUGCGCUCGUUGCGGGACUUAACCCAACAUCUCACGACACGAGCUGACGACAGCCAUGCAGCACCUGUGCACGGACUCCGAAGAGGAACCGAUGUUUCCACCGGCUUUCCCGUGCAUGUCAAGCCCAGGUAAGGUUCUUCGCGUUGCGUCGAAUUAAACCACAUGCUCCACCGCUUGUGCGGGCCCCCGUCAAUUCCUUUGAGUUUCAGCCUUGCGGCCGUACUCCCCAGGCGGGGCACUUAAUGCGUUAGCGCCGGCCCUCGGGGGGUCGCUCCCCCAAGCGCCUAGUGCCCAUCGUUUACGGCGUGGACUAC
rnacentral:misc_RNA from 1 species